rfam:Parcubacteria bacterium GW2011_GWB1_42_9 TV50_C0016, whole genome shotgun sequence.
ACGGAAGGCUCAAAGUGCAUGGGCCCUCGGACAAGAAAUUGUCAUGAGUGCAUUUGGCUAUAUCGAUGAAACCUCAAUCUUUACUAAAGACAAGGUAACGCCGAGGAAAGAUCCUGAUCCUGAGCUUGCCGAAGGAGAAGGAAAUCCCGAGAGACUAUACGCCAAAUACCUAAACUCAAUUGAGUACGGUAAAGACAUAGUCCGACACUCUGAGAAAUCAGAGA